CAGCAGUCGGUUUGGCGGGGGGAUAAAGGUCCGGGGAACGUAGCUCCUCCGGGAGUGUUAUAGCCCCGGGCGUAAUGCCCUCGCCGGGACCGAGGUUCGCGCAUCUGCAAGGAUGCUGGCGUAAUGGUCAUCAACGACCCGUCUUGAAACACGGACCAAGGAGUCAAGGUUUUGCGCGAGUGUUUGGGUGUAAAACCCGCAACGCGUAAAUGAAAGUGAACGUAGGUGAGAGCUUCGGCGCAUCAUCGACCGAUCCUGAUGUAUUCGGAUGGAUUUGAGUAAGAGCGUUAAGCCUUGGACCCGAAAGAUGGUGAACUAUGCUUGGAUAGGGUGAAGCCAGAGGAAACUCUGGUGGAGGCU
rnacentral:ncRNA from 1 species